ACCUAUCGAAAAAAAUUUUACGCUUAUUAAAUGUAUAUUAAUGAUUGAGCAUUUUAUUGAAAUAAGCUCAUAAACUUUAACUUUGAACAUUUAAGUAUUAAUUAAUAAAAUUGAUGGCUUUGGAGUAUUAGAAUCCUGCCUAGUCCCUAUACAAUAGCAUUGUUACUACGUAGUACAUAGACCAAACAAUUGUAUGCUGUUACUGUUUAAGCGUAAUAUUUUUCAAAAGUUUUUCUGUGUAUAAUUUUACAUUUGUAAUAAUGAGUGCCGUAAUUAAUGUUAAAUGUAAGAGAAAAUGUGUUAUAGCCGAGUGUUUAGAAUGUAGUAAUAGAUUUAACGAUUAUUUAAAAAAAAAAGCUCGAAAAGAAGUUACAUAAUAUAAACAGGUAAAUAUGAAACAUGUUGGCGUUCCUAAAAGCUCUUUCGAAAGUGCAACCGAAACUUCAUGACAUUUAUCCAAACAGAUUAAACUACGUAAUAUUAUUCUGGCAAGUUUAUUUUCAUAUUUGUUAAUUGUUAUAGAUCAUAAUUGAAUCCAAUUUAAAAUUUAUAAUAUUAAUAUAGAAACAAGGAUGUAUUGGAGCAUUUACUCAUAACAACGUUAACAAUAUUUAUAAAACAAUGAGUAAAUAGGUACACUAAUAAAUUCAUUUUAUAAUCAUAUUAUUUAUAUUGUAUUGUGUAUAUUGUAAAUUUAGGCAAUUAGUAUAUUACUUAAUAAUAAAAAUUGUAUCUUUUAUUUUAUAAAUUCUUGGUAUUAUUUUACAUUGAGUCAAGUUCAACUCAGACAAUAUGUUAUGUUAGUCAGACUAACGUUAAAUCUGAAAGAAUGACAGAAUCUAUAUUAGACAACUGACAAGGUCAGAAUAAUACGUAUAUCAUCUCAAUCAAUCUCCAUAAAAGAUUCAACGAUUGUAGUUUACCAUGAUAAAAUGGAUGUAAAUUAAUCAUUGUGUGCUGGUUAGUUGGAAAAUAUUUUUGCUGCAGAUUUAAAUGAAUGUGGUGUAGUUUUAUCUAAAUUAAAAAUUGAAGCAUUACCAAAUCCAAUUAUAUUUAUACCAGAGAGAGAACAAUUAUCAUGAUCCAGGUGGUCGAGGGCCAACUAUUUCAACUUCACAACCUCCAAUGAUUAAAAAAAAUGAAAAAACUUGAGCUGCAUUUUUCUUCUACUUCACAUAAAGCAUAUUUAAACAACUACUACCAAUUCAUGACUAAUUCAAACCACAUUCGGACAUUGAUGUAAUUUUGAACAGGAAUAAUAGAAAAGAAGCAAUAUAAUUAGAGCAAGAUCUGAUCAACACUGAUCACAUUAUCAAAUACCAACUUAAAAAAUGUAUUUCUUCUGUUUAGCCAUUGUUCAAAUUAUUUUUCUCAACCUUUAGAUAAAUCAAAUUUACUCUUGAAAACAUUACAAAUUCUCUAUCUUUAUUUCCACUAAAUAGUACAGCUUGUAAUCUAAAUAUGUAGAUUAGUCCAAACUCAAUACGAAAUAUUAUUUAACAUGUUGCAAGAUUAUUCAAAAAAUUUUAAAUAUCUAAUGGAAAAGUCUAAAGAAAUCAAACAUAUUUUACCAUAUGCCAAUUUAUUAUGUCGUUUGGCAUUGAAUCUUCCGUUGGCUGUCGUCUUAAAUGAGAGGACAUUCAGUAAAUUAAAAUUAGUGAAGACAUUUUUCAGAUCAACAAUAAAUUAUGACCGAUUAAAUUUCUUAGUAUUAUUAAGAAUAGAAAAAGAUAUUGUAGACGAAUUGGAUAUUAACAAAUUAGUACAACA